rnacentral:rRNA from 1 species
UGACCUGUGGCUGGGGGUGAAAGGCCAAUCAAACCGGGAGAUAGCUGGUUCUCCCCGAAAGCUAUUUAGGUAGCGCCUCGUGAAUUCAUCUCCGGGGGUAGAGCACUGUUUCGGCUAGGGGGCCAUCCCGGCUUACCAACCCGAUGCAAACUGCGAAUACCGGAGAAUGUUAUCACGGGAGACACACGGCGGGUGCUAACGUCCGUCGUGAAGAGGGAAACAACCCAGACCGCCAGCUAAGGUCCCAAAGUCAUGGUUAAGUGGGAAACGAUGUGGGAAGGCCCAGACAGCCAGGAUGUUGGCUUAGAAGCAGCCAUCAUUUAAAGAAAGCGUAAUAGCUCACUGGUCGAGUCGGCCUGCGCGGAAGAUGUAACGGGGCUAAACCAUGCACCGAAGCUGCGGCAGCGACACUAUGUGUUGUUGGGUAGGGGAGCGUUCUGUAAGCCUGUGAAGGUGGCCUGUGAGGGUUGCUGGAGGUAUCAGAAGUGCGAAUGCUGACAUAAGUAACGAUAAAGCGGGUGAAAAGCCCGCUCGCCGGAAGACCAAGGGUUCCUGUCCAACGUUAAUCGGGGCAGGGUGAGUCGACCCCUAAGGCGAGGCCGAAAGGCGUAGUCGAUGGGAAACGGGUUAAUAUUCCCGUACUUGGUGUUACUGCGAAGGGGGGACGGAGAAGGCUAUGUUGGCCGGGCGACGGUUGUCCCGGUUUAAGCGUGUAGGUGUGUGUUCCAGGUAAAUCCGGUU